CCUACGGGAGACAGCAGUAGGGAAUAUUGCUCAAUGGGGGAAACCCUGAAGCAGCAACGCCGCGUGGAGGAUGAAGGUUUUCGGGUUGUAAACUCCUUUUGUUAGAGGAGAUAAUGACGGUAUCUAACGAAUCAGCCCCGGCUAACGCCGUGCCAGCAGCCGCGGUCAUACGGGGGGUGCAAGCGUUACUCGGAAUCACUGGGCGUAAAGAGCGCGUAGGCGGGAUAGCAAGUCAGAUGUGAAAUCCUAUGGCUUAACCAUAGAACUGCAUUUGAAACUGUUAUUCUAGAGUAUGGGAGAGGUAGGUGGAAUUCUUGGUGUAGGGGUAAAAUCCGUAGAGAUCAAGAGGAAUACUCAUUGCGAAGGCGACAUGCUAGAACAUAACUGACGCUGAUGCGCGAAAGCGUGGGGAGCAAACAGGAUUAGAUACCCGAGUAGUC
rnacentral:rRNA from 1 species